rnacentral:tRNA from 1 species
AUUUAUUUAGUAUAAAAAGUAUAUCUGACUUCCAAUCAGAGGGUCUAUAAUUAUAGAAUAAGUA